GCUUGGUAUGGCUCCACCAUAACAAUUUCCUUAUAAUUCAUGGUAAUUUAUGUUCUAGUUGUAUCUUGCUUGAUAGAAACUUCGAACCCAAGAUAUCAAAUUUUGGAGGAGCUAUGUUCUUUUCCAAAAGUGGAUCGAAAGAGUUGCGUUUGAUUCAGAGUGAUGUCUAUAAAUAUGGUGUUCUUCUCCUCGAGUUAAUUCUAGGGCAAGAUUUUUACAUGCCAAAAGAGACUUUCAAAGAACGAAUCUCUCAUCCUUCCACAACCAUUGACACUCUCUAUCGUGCUGUUGAUAAAUCUCUUAUUGGUAGAGGAAAUGAUGCCAAAAUAUUUAGUCUUCUUGAUAUUGCACGUGGUUGUGUUAAGCCACUUCCAGAUGAAAGACCUACAAUGCUGCAAGUCUACAAAAUGCUAAUGGACGUCAAGAAAAUAAAUAAUGGCAUUGAAGAUUAUUCAGAGACAUUGACUGAAACUGAUACUACCUUUACUGGUUUUAGUGAUGAUAAUAUUGAGCUUGAGAUAAUAGAGAUAUAAAGAACAGGGUUAUGUUGGAAGUUUGGAUAUUG
rnacentral:misc_RNA from 1 species